GGCACCAUGGCUCAGCUGGUUGAAGUGCCUGUCUAGUAAAGAGGAGAUCCUGGGUUUGAUCUCCAGUGCUGCCU
rnacentral:tRNA from 1 species